GACUCUUGGCAACGGAUAUCUCGGCUCUCGCAUCGAUGAAGAACGUAGCGAAAUGCGAUACUUGGUGUGAAUUGCAGAAUCCCGUGAACCAUCGAGUCUUUGAACGCAAGUUGCGCCCGAAGCCUUCUGGCCGAGGGCACGCCUGCCUAGGCGUCA
rnacentral:rRNA from 1 species